GACGAACGCUGGCGGCGUGCUUAACACAUGCAAGUCGAACGGAAAGGCCCUGCUUUUGUGGGGUGCUCGAGUGGCGAACGGGUGAGUAACACGUGAGUAACCUGCCCUUGACUUUGGGGUAACUUCAGGAAACUGGGGCUAAUAUCGGAUAGGAGCUCCUGCUGCAUGGUGGGGGUUGGAAAGUUUCGGCGGUUGGGGAUGGACUCGCGGCUUAUCAGCUGGUUGGUGGGGUAGUGGCUUACCAAGGCUUUGACGGGUAGCCGGCCUGAGAGGGUGACCGGCCACAUUGGGACUGAGAUACGGCCCAGACUCCUACGGGAGGCAGCAGUGGAGAAUAUUGCACAGUGGGCGGAAGCCUGAUGCAGCAACGCCGCGUGCGGGAUGACGGCCUUCGGGUUGUAAACCGCUUUCGCCUGUGACGAAGCGUGAGUGACGGUAAUGGGUAAAGAAGCACCGGCUAACUACGUG
rnacentral:rRNA from 1 species